ensembl:lncRNA
GUACCAAACGUCUGAAGAUAUUUUUUUCUGGGUCAAAACUAUCUCCUUUUCCCUGUUGCACAAAUGAGCGAGUCAUUUAGGUUAGCAGGAUACUCUUCGGAAGAGAAAAAGUCUCCUUAAGGGAAUUCAGACUCAUUGGUACUUUCAUGAGAAUUACUGUCAUCAAGAAAACAACUUCUAGCUGGCACCCUGGAAGCUGGAAGAUUUGAAGUCUGAUGGAAGGUUUUUUCUAAUUUUAUGUUUCUGAAAAUUGAUGUGAACAUAUGAUUCGGUAAUGUCUUUUUCUCCUCAAAACAAGCCGCUUUUAAAUUGAUGAUGCAAUUUUGAUUGGAUGGAAUCUUAGCACCCUGUCAAACUAGGAUUGUGGCUCAGCUGGUAAAGAAUCUGCCUGCAAUGUGGGAGACCUGGGUUUGAUCCCUGGGUUGGGAAGAUCCCUUGGAGAAAGGAAAGGCAGCCUACUCCAGUCCUGGAGAAGUCCAUGGACUGUAUAGUCCAUAGGGUCACAAAGAGUCAGACAUGACUGAGCGACUUUCACUUAGCACUCUGUCAACUUAGGAUGAAGGGCUGCAGGCCUGUGGGUGUUGUGUCAGGCCUGCAGAGGCUCAAGGCUGUCACGAGGGCACUGAUCUCCUGGGGCUGGGCACCUGGGGCAGUGCGUGGUGACACCAUCUGUUAUUAGGCAAAUAACUCACACUGGGCCUCGUUGGUGGCUCAGUGGUAAAAAAUCCACCUGUCAAUCAAUGCAGGAGACACCGGUUUGGUCCCUGGUCUGGGAAGAUCCCACAUGCCAAGGAGCAACUAAACCUGCACGCCACAACCACUGAGCCUGUGCGCUAGAGCCCGGGAACCCCAACCACUGAGCCUACUUGGCUGCAACUAGUGAAGCCCGAGCACCCGAGAGCCCGUGCUCUGCAGCAAGAGAAGUCACUUCAAUGAGAAGCCUGCACCCUGCACCUAGAGAGUAGCCCCCACUCGCCAUGACCAGAGAAAACCCACGCAUGGCAAGGAAGCGCAGCUAAAAAUAAAAAGCAUGCAGAGUAUCUGCCGGCAUCUCCUGCAGCCUGGGCAGUCUUCGGGGUCACUGUCCUGCCUGCUGAGCCCCCAGAGAUUUGUGCAUGAUGCUUCUAUGGCUGGACUGUCUCCUGAGCCAAGUGAAAGAGACUGAUGUUGGUAUCAGUCAGAACAACUCUACUAACAAUAGCAAGACACCUGGCUUUUCUUUUUAUUUGAAAUUGUCUGUGUCACUUCUCUUCCUUGGUGCUACGAAGUAAAAUUUCUUCCAGAACAUUCUGUUUGCUUGCUAUGGACUCCCUUUGCCUAACCUAAACGCUAUUCAUUAAAAAUACUACUUCCAUUUGAUGAUGAGUCAAGCUCCCAGAAGCCCAAUCACAUUUCAGUAAGUGUGGCAGUGACCCAGUCCAUGUUUAUGGGGCUCC